UGCAGGUAUCACUAAGAUGAGAUUUGAGCACCUAAAUCAAUGCUGAAGACACACAGAAUAUUGAAGGAUCAACUCUACUUCUUCGAAAUAUACUUUAAUACUUUCACUGCCAAACCAGAGUUCAAGAAAUAACUGCGGUGGAAUGAUAAUGAGAAGUUUAACAGUUUUAUGAUGGUUGAAGCUGACUUUAUGAAAGUUGAUAAAUUUCAUCUUGUAGGUUUCAAUUUCUCAUUCCCUACCGAGAGAUGGGGAGAAUACAUUGACACUGCAUUUCAAAUUGGCUAGAUCAGAAGGAACAGCAGCUAAAAUCCAUUACAACCCAAUUACAUCCAUCAGCUGAAGCUGUGUGCAUUCACUUGUGAACAUCAGCAUUUAAUCCAUAAAGAGGAACUAAUGAGAAAUUUGAAAAUGGAAUCCACGCAUCAGUAAGUUUAGAGAGAUUUUUCUGGGAUUAAUGAUCUGCCAGAGCAUCUUCAGCAUUCUGGAAAGCUAUUCUCUCUGGGUUUGUUUACUGACCAAGAGAAAAAAAAAGGGGGUUUCCUUCUGUCUGCUCAUCAAAUAUUUGAAAGACUACUCAUUUCAGUCCUUGAAAAUGGGAUACCGUGAGCUUUGGAAGUAAGGUACGUGUUGGUGAACACUGUUGUCAUUGAACAGGAAAAAUUAAAUUAUUAGGUGAGAAGUUUCCACCUAGAGAUUAGUAACAAGUAGCCUGAACAAAUUAUUUUACCUGUAUAGAUGCUAAGACAGAUGUGUUCUUUUAAUUUAAGACCUGAGAGCAUGUUUAGAGUUGCACGUAAUGGCAAUAAUUCUAUGUUGUAGAAAUAGAGAAAUAGUUUUUAUUUUUCACUUUUGGUGAUUGCAUGGAUAGAAAUAAAUAUUCCUCUUGUCGAAUUGCAAUUGCUUAAAGAGUAACAAGGAAGCUUAGAGAGAGUAGAGUAUAAACUUGUUAACAAUUGCAUAACUUCACAUGUACAAUUUCUGAGUUAAUAAACAUAUAGUUUGUGAAAAGUUAACACUGGAUGAAGCUUUAGAAUGCUGUGCAAUUUCUUCUCAUCUGGUGAAAACGGUUUCUGUAAGCAUACAAUUUAGGGAUGUUACUAUAUCCGAGGUCUGGCAAAUGUAGUCAUCAGAUUAAAUAAAUGUAUAUGUGGACUGUGGGGGAUUGGAUCCCCAUGUUUGGAAAGUAAUUUGGUUCAAUUUGUUGCUCUUUGGAGAGAAGGUAAGUGUGUAGAUUUCAUAUUCAAAUUACAUCAGACAGUAUGACUUGUUCCUCUGUUUCUAUAGUUCCUGAAGUAUGCCUCUCUAAGUGUG
rnacentral:lncRNA from 1 species